CACGUUUGGUUAUUUGUACACAAAAUGCAGCAUCAGGAUAUUCGAAUAUUUUCGGAAUAGGUGCAGAACUGCAUUUAUAAAGUUUCAGUGUUGCAAUGGAGUUCUCGGAAGAAGAGAGGAUGUGGUUGUUGGACAUGGCUGCAGAGAUACCUGAUGGAGAACUCACUCCACUGGAGGAGCACUGGUGUGAGUUGGCAAAGCCACAGACGGCAGUAGAAGCUGUGACAUUCCAGCUAAUGGCCUGCAUACGUUUUAAUCUGACCAGCCAAAUCAUCUUAGACCUGGACAAGUUCAAAACCAUAAUGCAGGAAUGGAACAAAAUUUGAAGUGUGAAUUAAAAUGGCAAGUAAAAAUGGAACUGAAAUAUGGAGCCAAUUUGCAAAGAUAAGAAU